UAAUGUAUGUUGUUACAGGGUGGUUAACUUCGCCAGCGGCCCCCUUUCCCGGGGCAGUCCCUGCUCUCCCCUGCUAGAGGGGCACCCUAAUCCGUCACCCCAUCCGACUUCAGAAUGUAUUCGUUGGGUUCGGCAACUCACCACCAGCAUCCAACCAAAUCUAGCGGAUCAACGGCGCAUCAACUUAGUUCCUGGUCAGCUCGCAAGUUGAUAUUAUCACGUCCUACACCGUCCAUAAGAUGGGGGGCCACCUCCCAUUUCAUCACUCCUCAAACACCCGAGGAGCCGGCAGGCGGAUUUGAACCCGGGUCGUAUAAUGUAUGGAUGCUAUGGAGAAGGUUUAGCUCACUUGGCAUCUCCUUUAGUACUCUUUGCCUGAUGUUACAUUGGUGCGAAUUGCUAGGAGGUGGGAACUCCCCGGAUCGGUCUGGUUACGAGCAUAACGCACUCCAAUCAUGACCGGAGGUGGAUGCCCGGGUGGGCGGGAAGUAUACCAGCUGAGUAAAAAUGAAGACCUCCAUUUCAGACGGGGACUGACAAUAAAAAUGCCACAAUAAUAAAGAAAUGCGCAUUCCGACGGGAAAUCAAAUAACCAUUAUCCUAUGGAUAUGCCCGGAGGACGUUCGCUCGAGGGGGGAGGAAUAUAAGAAGGGUCAGCUCCCUUGGCAUCUCCCAGAGGACUCUUUGCCUGGUGUUACACUCUCGUAGUCCGAGAGCGACGGAAUGUGAUGAUACGAUUGAUGGCUGCGCGCGAGCCAGAUGAAAUGAAUGAAUCCAUCAGCUUAUUAAAGAGAAUCAGCAGAAAGGAGAGCGAGGAAGUAAGCUGACGGCCAGCAGAAGGAAGCUGGUGGGCUAGCUGUUGCACCGAUCUAAGUAGCCCGGCUGAAACGCCCCGCCCGCCCGCCCGCCCACACACGCAGAGCUUGGGAAAGAAUAUCUCGCAACGCACUUACUGGGCACGGUAGUAGUGUGGGUUGCUGUCAGCCCACUUCUUCCAGACCCUGCUCGAUUUGAUCGAAUAGGAGGAAGCAGCAGCAGCAGCAGCAGAUCGAUCGAUCGAUCGAUCGAUGGAGCGGGCAGGCAGGCACAGCGGGUUAGGGCUGGCGUGGUGGAACGAGUGAGGUGAAGAGCACCGUACGUUGUACCUACAUAUGCCGCUGGACACUAGACGUACCGCUGGUGCUUGAUUAUAGGCAAGUGAGCCCAACAAGCAAAUGAACCACCCCAUGCGUCAACUGAUGGUUGCUACGGCGGGGGGCCUGUUGCAUGCAUGCACGGGGAUGACCCCCCACUCCUGCACGCGUGUGUACGUGUAACCCCGCCCUGUGCUUGAUGAGACGCGCGGCGGCGGCUGAACGCAUCCUGCGGAUCUGUAGCAUACCUAUCAAGAUGGCUGCGUGCGUGCGUGCGGGUGAACAUUUCAACAUGUAUAGUAUUCCUUCUCUCACGCACCUGGCGUCGUCGUGGUGGAAGCCGACAUAGCCGUUGAUGGUCAGCCAGGCGCUCUGAAUGCCCCUCACAUUGGCGACCGUCAUCCGCGUUAACAGAUGCGCGCACUUCUGGGUGGGAUUGGUCGCGGGGUUCAUCUGGACAGAGUAACUCUGUACUGUGGUCGCUGUCUCGGUGUUCGCCACGGCUGUGCCGUCAGACCAGGAAAAGCUGGACGAAGCUGAGAACGAGAUGCCAGCCUGAAAUCCCCCCAGAUCGUUUUUAAAUCCGAACAAAAUUUGGACCUGUGGCGCAGGGUUGAAGUAGUCCUAAGCAGUCGGCGUACGGAGCAAUGACGGAACGAAUGAACCACGCAUAGCGAGGGUGGCGAAGCACCAACUGACAGGUUGCAAUCUGACGAAGCCGCUCCUUGGCACCGGUCAUGUCACAGCCGGCAGCGGCGCGCGCAUCGGUGCAAGACGUACAGUGAACAUGAAAUAUUUGCACGGACGAUGAGCAGCACUUGUAAUGACUGACAUGUAUUUUUGUGGGCACACAUAAUGUUCUCCCCCCCCCGUUUUAGUAUUGGCUUGCAUGUACCACUUUGCCGCAAGUAAUUGGCAUGGCUGUCGGGAACUGGCUAGGUACGUACGAUGGCCCAAACCUACCCUGUUCGUAACUCCGAAGCUCUGGGUUGAAGUUCGGCUCCGAGUGAUGAUUGUUGACUGGUACGACUGUGUAUGCAAGCGGGCAGGCAGGUCGGAUCUGAAAACACACACACGAAUUUCAUUACCCGGAAAGACUGCUAAAUAUGUCGCACGCAUGCACGCACACAUGCACAUGAUGACCAGGAACUAAGUUGAGGCGCCGUUAAUCCGCUAGAUUUGGUUGGAUGCUGGUGGUGAGUUGCUGAACCCAACGAAUACAUUCUGAAGUCGGACGGGGUGAAAGGAUUAGGGUGGCCCCCCUCUAGCAAGGGAGAGCAGGGAACUGCCUCCAAGGGAAAGGGGGCCGCUGGUGAAGCUUAACCACCCUGUAACGACAUAAAUGAUGGACACCCUAGCUGCACGUACAUACACGUGCACGCAAAGUAAUCAUUUGGCAUGCAGUAGUUCUAACUAGCUGUCUGUAAACACCAUCACCCACAUGUGCGUCGAUCUGGCAUCUGUAGUUGAAGGGCCUGUACGGGCACACCACCAGCAUGGAGGUUACGUUGUCCAGCCCCGACGCCGUUCUGUUCCACACCGGCUCGUCCAGGCCGGUGGCGAUCUGCGCCGGCUGCAGCCGCAGGAACCAGUCGCGCCACCAGUCGGUGUUGCCGUCCCAGUCGACCUCGCAAUCGUCUCCGCCGCUCUGGGCCCUGCAGUAGGCACUCAUUAGAGCUUUCAGGCGCUGCAUGAACACUGGCGAGAUAGACCCCUCAAAAGCAGACACCGACGCGCCCCGGGUGUCGAGCUUUGCGGCCGUCUGCUGAUCACUGUAACUACUGGUCUGCUGCUGUGCCGCCCUAGCUGCAAUGUUGACCGAUGACUCAUCAAGCAUGUAGGGCGCGGUCGUCGUCGUCGUCGUCGUCGUCGUUACGGCGGCAGACGACUUCUCGUAUGCGGCCGUGGCGGUGGAGACGGCGUCGAUGGCAGUGUCCACAGACGCCAUCCGGCUACUGACAGUCGAACGCAGGGGUGGCGGUGGCGGGGACGAACGCAGGGGUGGCGGUGGCGGGGACGAACGCAGGGGUGGCGGUGGCGGGGACGAACGCAGGGGUGGAGGUGGCAGGGACGAACGCAGGGGUGGCGGUGGCGGGGACGAACGCAGGGGUGGCGGUGGCGGGGACGAACGCAGGGGUGGCGGUGGCGGGGACGAACGCAGGGGUGGCGGUGGCGGGGACGAACGCAGGGGUGGCGGCGGGGAUGGCUUGGCGUUCUCGUUAGGAGCAGGGUCUGCCGUGCGGGCUGAGGCAGACGUGCAAGUGAGACUGUUGAGGCUGUAACGCUGCGGGUUGACGUAUCCGUAGGCCGGUAGUUGCAUGGAGAGGGUGAUGGGCGUGGUCACACGCACGGUGGUGCCGAUGACGGUGAAUGCAUUCGCCCUGGCGAUCUGCGCGGCCUUGGCGGUGUUCACGAUAUACCACAGCGGGUGGUACAGAUAUUUAAAAUCAGUCCUCCCGUUGUUGAUGUUCUUCCAGGCUCGCCAGUCGUUUUGCCGCGUGCCCACACCGCCAGAGAACUCCAGGUACACCUCUGCAGAGUUAAGGGGAGGGGAGUGCAGGAGAGCGGAGCGGAGCAGCAGCAGCAGCAGGACAUAAAGAUGGAGCGGCACCGCUGGGUAUCAUAUUUGCACGGUUACACGCUAGGGAUUCUGUCGUAGGAGGACGCACGGCUGUCAGUAUUAUUAUUUAGUGCAAGAAAAAUAGUGGUGGCACGCAGCUAGCAACAGGGAGCAAGUGGUCGAGCGAACGUGCCCAGCCAGCUGUCUGGCGCCAUCGAUGCACUCACCAAGCUUGCCGACCGCGGCAGUGCGACCCAGAGAUAUGGUGAGGGAGGAGCAGUACGUGUCAUUUGGACUAGUGGUCACUGAAGCCGUUGCCCCCUGUUACAUGCAUGUAUACCGAUGCGACAGAAUAAUUAAAAAGCGUGGCCAACCGGUGGGGUGAGCAUCUGAUGGAAGGACGGAACGCGAAUGGAAGGAAAUGGAACGCAAUGAACCCGGUUUGUUUGGUAGGUUGUUUGGUAGGUGGGCCGACAGAAAGCACGCAAAUCCACUUCACAAUGCUGAGAGCGGGCGGGCGUGCGCUAUCGCUAUCGUGUGAGGCAGAUAGACAUGUCGAUGUUGCACGAUACGUUGUUGCUGGGCCCAUGCAUGGAAAGCAUCUGUGUACGAUACCGCGCGGAGACGUAAGUACCGUGGAUUGCCCGAUGAUUCUCGCCGUGGACUCGGAGGCUGUGGAACUGCGGUUGCAUAUAUGCGGACGCGGGGCGGACAGCAGAGUGUGAGAGUGUGAUUGAAGUACAUCAGGCACAUAUCCAGCUGGAUGGCCAGCCCUACCUCCAGUCGCCCGCAUGUAUGUGCAUUUAGAAAGAACACACAUCGACCACAUUGCACAUGCUGUUAUUAUUAUAAGUUUAAUACUGCUGCUGGCUCUACUCCUUCGGGUCUGGAGCCCACUGUAACAUACUACUACUACUACUACUACUACACUACUACCGACCGCAGUCGCCCAGCCGCACCGCCGUACUACCUGAACGCGAAGUCGAAGGUCGACUCCAUCGUGGCCUCCAUGGCGCCGAAGGUCGCCGUGACCUUGGUGACUACACCCGCCUUGAACUGGUCGCUGUAGCCCCUCGCCUGAGUCACCGCCACCGAGGACGCGGUCUCCAGCCGGGGCGAGAAGGUGCAGACGCCCUCGCUGGUGGGGUUGGGCCGGCAGGUCAGCACGCUGCGCGAGGCCGCCCUGGGCGCGUCCGAGGCGGGGGUGAGCACCAUCUGGGUGUUGCAGGUGUUGUUGCUGAGUGACGGAAAAUCGUAGAAGUACUCCUGAUACCAAUUCGUAGUCCCCAUGAAAUCGAUUUCAUCACUGCGGGCGAUCGAGCGAGACAGGUAAUAACAAGCGAUGACGAUCAAGCAUAAAUGGAGCUCGAGACACAAACAUGCCCACACCUGUAGCAGCCGGUACACAGUACGACGCUAUAAAUACGCGCGUAGCGCGACCACCAGCAUCUCGAGAGGCCUUUUCAGCGGCCAGCUGCUACAACACCCAAGCGCGUGCUUGAUGUGGGGGAUGUGGGACAGGGGGUUCAUAUCUUCACCCUGGGCCCGUUACCUGACAGACCCUGCCUUUUCCAGUAUUUCGGGGCACCCUCAUCCAGUCACCCCCUAGCCAACUCGUCAGUGAAACCCUCAGGUUCCGCACCCACCACCAUCCAACGGGUUCAACCAGAUCGACGAUGGCUCAACUCCAUUUCUGGUCAGAUCUCAGGCACAUUCUUACCCUUCCACCAUCGGAAGGAUUUUCCUCCUUGGCAAGUCUCGAUCCCGGAACCUUCGGGGUCAUCGGUGUGUCCCUUACCAGUAGUGCCUGACCUAUGCAUGCAGGACGCACAAAUGCUUCAUUAUGCGACUUACUAUCUGCACGCAGGGUAGCGCAGCUCACCACUUGGCGCCGCUGUUGGAGUAACAGUAGUCCUGCACCAGGUCAGUGAGCGCCUGAAUGGCGCUUCCAGGGUAGAACUGGGUUGGCUGGGCCGGCGGGCCACCCGCACAUGCGCCUGCGUGCACGUGAAAGCGGGUGCAUGCGUGCACACUCAGUUCCUUCCUGGAAAACCGCUAAGAAGCAGGCCAGCAGAUACGAAUACAUUUAGGUCCACGUAAAUAUCACACCGCACUUGCACCCAUCCUUGCUUCAUGUGAUGGAUGUACGAUGCAUGUACAUGCGCUGUACACACGUACGUGUGUGGAUGAUGCGGGCCCCAUCACCGGUUGGCGACCCCUGCUGAUAUUGACCUAAGGACAUGACCUCCAGCAGCAACCUCGCUCAUCACUCAUUCAUGCACCCAAGCAUGCCCGGCGAUAGAUGGGCCACCGGGCAGGCCACCGAGCGAGCAGAAGGCUGUACCUAACCUCGUAGACCACACGAAAGAUGAUGCGCACAAGCACGCGCUAUCUAUGCUGGCGUCGGUGCUCAGUCACAAUUCCCACACGCGCAUUACUACUUGGGAGUGCUAUUCGUCGCACCGAUGGUGGCCCAUAGACGUACCUGAGUACGCGCCCAUGCUGCUCCUCUUCACCCAUAGACACAAACCCCCAUACGGCAUAGCGGGCGUGGCGCUGCGCUUUGCCCAGCCCUGGCUGUUGAAGGCGACGCAGCUGGGGUUUCGGUUGCAGGCGGCCAACGCGCUGGAGGCGGAGCCGUAGUUGCCGAUGUCGUCACCGUCUCGGUCAAUGUCGCGGUACGCGAUGUAGCCGGUGUACGCCGUACAAGCUGAUGCCGGCCGUAGCCGCAGGGCAUAAGCAGCAGCGUUAGUCAGGCAGGGGGCCGACAGAAAGAUUAGCGCCACUGAUUGAACAGGGCACGCGGGCCCCCCGCCCCGCCCCGUCCCCCGCAUUCCCCUCAUACACACACGCACGUUCAACUUGAUAGAUUGCACACCCGCGUACUUUGUGGAUAGCUGUUGAACGAACGGUUGAGGUUUUCGUCGUCUGGAGCGAGGUCGGGAAACAAGCAGCGAAGCUUACCUGUCGCAAGGUGACGCCGCGACGCGGGGACUACCUCCCCCUCAGCAACAACAAUGGCAGCGCCGCCAUCCGCCACCGCUGUCACUUCCGCCCCGGCCGCCGAGGCUUCCUCGCUGGUGGCCGUGGUGUCGACCCCAGAAGAUGACGCAAGCACGGUCCGGACGCCGACGAAGGAGAGGCACAUCAGCGCCGCGGCGGCAGCCACAAGCAGGGUUGCCUUACCGCUGUAUGGGGAAACGGCCGCCCGCCGUCGUCGCUGCAUGCGCUGCCGGUGCACCUGAUGGUGCGGGCCUGGACUGGUGAGAUUGGUCGGGAAUGUACGCUCCAUCCUCUGCCUGUCAGCUUGAUGAUAAGGAGCCGCCGCAGCUUCGGUGCCUGACGACGUAUGGCCACGAUCUUCUGCGAUCUGUACGUUGCCGUGACGUGGUGGUAGGGACACGCAGUCAUCAGCAAUGUGCGUGGGUGCGUGCAUACCGCCGCCCACAUAAGACAUAGCAGUACACCUGGUUCGUGGGACUUUCUUACGUCGUGCUCUAUACUAUGUAUGUGCAGCAAACGCGAUGAAAGUAUCUGACGAAGAGGCAGUGAUCGGGCACACGCAUGUGCGUUCAUCCAGGGACAGGGGCAGCAGGCAUAAACAAUUACGAGCAAACUGCACUGCACCACGAAGUGCUGGCGGGCCAACGACGAUCAUCAGGCAGGCGGGGUCCACGCGUUUUCAUACGCCGUGUAUGCCGUAUUCUUUGAAGCUUGAUUGGCUUGCCAAGGCUUUGUUAGCUCGGUACGUUUCCAUUUUAUGGACUGUCCUCAUCCAUACGUUGAAACGUUGGUUACAGCUUUACUGGCGAUUACAUUGCCAGGCAUUGCCGCCAUUGCUAAGGAGGCAUCCCGCAAAAGCUAUAAAAGUCACCUAACGUAGCGGACAAAGAUUGACCAGUGGCCGCUUCCACACCUCAAGUUGUGACGACGCCGUUACAGCUACGAAGGGAGUUUCCCGGCUUGGAACCCGCAACACGGUAACGCCUGGAGCUUUAUAUUUCGCCAACUUCACUUCGGCCUUGCGUGUCGUCACCCGCUCCUAACAAGCGCUGAGGACUGGCACUCUGGCAGACGAGGGAUAUAUCCGUGCAAGCAAGAGAAACUCCUUGCACAUUGCAAAUGAAAAUGCUGCGGCUUACUGCGAGCGAGGAAACGCAGUCGAAAAGCUCGCGAUGAUCUCGUAAUGCUAAGUAGGCGGCAGUUGGAUUUUGAUCGCCCGCCCGACCGUCAGGGCGAUGGAUUCAGGGCGCUGACCUGGAGCGGCCUGGUUCUCUUUCAGCUGGAUUCAGGGCGAUGACCUGGAUCCAGUUCGCGCGCACUUUUCGAUACAGGGCGAUGGGUGAUGUACAACAAAGGUCACAUUUGGCAAGAGAAAUUGUGUUCUUUUGCCAAGUGUGAUCUUUUUUGUACGCCAUGGGUGACGUACAACAAAGGUUACACCUGGCAAGAGAAAUCAUGUUUUCUUGUACGUCACCCAUGACGUACAACAAAGGUCACACUUGGCAAGAGAAUGCGAUUGUUACAGUGGACCCCGAACGGGUCGAGUGCAGCGCCCCUAGGAACGCCUCCUAGAACAAAAUUUCUCUUGCCAAGUGGGUCCUUUGUUGUACGUCAUCCAUCGCGCUGUAUCGAAAAGUGCGCGCGAACUGGAUCCAGCUGGACCUGCAGGUCAUCGCCCUGCUGCUGAAUCCAUCGCCCUGACGGCCGGGCGGGGCAAGACCCCGCGUCCUCUUGACCCCUCUUACAUGCCGUGCAACUUCUGUGCAGCUGUUUAUUUCGGAACGAAGAUUCUCCGACACGUAUGCCUGACUAAGUUUGACGCCACUCGCACCAUGGCAGAGAUCAUGGUCAGGACGGCCUUGCUUGCAAUCCGGUUGCGCGCUCUGAACAGGGGCAACAGAAAUAUGUGCGGCGAUGUCUCGACCGUUUGCUGCUUGGCUGCGGGCUGGGUUGUAGACUAGUUGCGCCCGCCUUCUGUACGCCUGCUCGACUUUAAAUAAUCCGUACGCAUAUGCCUACAACAAGCAAGAUGACACCUUUGUAUAUCUCAUUCGAGUUUACUAACAAAUUAAUUGUUUCUGGAAAUAAAGGUUUCCAGCGUAUCUAUUAAGGUUAAGGGACCGUGUUAGGGAGUACGUAAACUCGCUCAUGGGAGAAUACCUCGGGAAACGGAGUAGUAGCACACCAAACAUUCGCACCCUAUACACCACAGCAGAAUGGUAGGGCAGAGCGAUUAAAUUGGUCGUUAAUGGGGAAAGUUCAAUGUCUGCUAGUCGAAAGCAGACUUCUUACUAAGGCCUGGGCACUUGCAGUUCAGGCAGCCUGAUACUUGCUUAAUCGUUCACUUGUUCAUGGGCUCAAGGGCACUCCAUCUGGGCGCGGUGGGGACGACCUGAUAUGAGUAUAUUCCGCUAAGGUGGGAUGCACUUCCGCUAUCCACUGACAAAUAUACUACCAACGAUUUUCAAGGAUGGAAAUUGUAUUCUUUGGAUCGGCCCUAAACUUUGUAAGGACAGUAAAGGAAGUACAAUCGCGAUCGAUCUCGACCAGGGUGAGACAGCCCGAUCGGGUCCCGACAGGAAUGGCACUUGUCCUGAAAAUCCCGACAGGCUUUGAAAAUGCUUUCGGGCGGACCCGACGAAAAAGGGGGAAAAUGCCAAACGGCCAUCGGGAGCCCCCGUCGGGGCCCGGAGGGCCCCCGUCGGGGGACCCGACAUGGUUAGGGGCGCUAGGACCACCCGAUCGGGUGCCGUGGGUCGUCGGUGCUGGUGCUGGUGCUCAAUCUGGAUGUGCUGCUCCUGUUUAUCCGCAGCCAAGGCGCCCAGUGGGAUAACGUGCCUGCCUUGCUUAAGGCCCUAUCGUGUGCCCAGACUGUGGCAAUGCUCUUCCUCAUGUGCGAUCUGCUGAAGCCCAUGAGUGUUUUGAGCCAGCAGUUUCAGUCUGAUUCGAAGUUGGUGCCGCACAAGGUUUCCAUUCUAGUAAAUACCGCGCGAAGCAAGUUAUCACGAGUAACCGAGAGCGAGGCUGAGGGCCAGCUACGCAAUGCCGAGGCCCUUUGUGGGUUUCUGCGCGCCUUCAGUACCCGAGGCAAUUGGCAUGCGAAGAAGGGCAAGAAGAUUCCGUUAGAGGGCGAAAUAGAUCUCGACGAGUUGGAGGACUUUGCGAUUGAGUUUGUUGCUGAGGUCUGUUCGCAUCUUGAUGAGCGGUUUGUGGAGUCAGAAGUGUUAGAUGCUUUCAAAAUCUUCGAUCCCAAAUCAUAUCAGGGGAUGCCGAAGGACAAAGUAAAGUCCUUUGGCAAAGAAGAGUUCAGGGUGCUGCUUAAGAAUUUCUGUAGCAAGUCGCAGGCAAAUCAGUUAUUUGAGCUCACUGAUAAGAAUCUCCCUCGGGUCCUUGAGGAGUGGGAGGUUGCUAAGGCCGUUAUGUACGAGUAUAGCAACCAGAAUGAAUGGGCGGAGUGCAGCCAUUUGUGGUGCCACAUUGUUAAGGAGCACCUGUCGUCCAUGCCCAACGUCGUGCAGUUUAUCUUCGUCGCUAUGGUUGUGCCGCUGCAAACGGCCUGUGUGGAGCGCGGCUUUUCCUUGCACCGCAUCAUCAAGGAUCGUCUCCGGAACCGCUUGCGUGUGGUUACCAUUGACUCCUUGAUGCGAGUGCGGCUACUUGCUCAGCCUUUUGAGGUCAUGGAUUUCAGCGAUGCAUCUGAUGUUUACGCAUCUGGCACUGCGGCCCCCACCCUAAAAACCCUUAUGGGGGUUUCACGCACUACAGUGCCAUGCUUGGAUAGUGAUGUUGAGAGCGAUGAGGAGCCGGCUGAUGAGGGGGAAGAUGACGAAGAGGAGGCCAGCGAGGCAUUUAUGAGUGAUGGGGAUCCAGAACUGUCCAGUGAGUCUGGCAGUGAGGUUGCCGAUGAGGGGGAGAUGUUCCUCUCCAGUCCUACGGUGUCUAAGGGUCUCCUUGAAGAGCUCGGGUUGUGAUGCUCACAGGCAGACGUGCAGGCGUGCAUGUGUUGCUGUGUGUGUGUUUGUUCGUGCAUAUCAGAACUGUGAACUGCAAACUGAGAACUGGAAACUGCGCAUAUAAAAUACGAAUAAAUGUAAUUUCAAGCGGCACACAGCGAAAUUUCGUUCUUGCGUCACCCGACAGGUUUUGGGAUGGGCUAUCGGGGCACCAGACAGAAAUUGAAAAAAAAAAAAGAAAUUGAAAGAUAUGCAAAAACGCUAUCGGGCGGGGCCGACGGGCAUGGGAAGGGGAAAACCGGCAACCCGACCAUUUUAGGAAGGUCCUGUCUAACCCUGAUCUCGACUCGCAAGCCCCAAACGCACGUACACAAGAAGUGGAAUAAACCACUGAAAUAUUUCCCGUUCUAAGGAAUACACAAUGGUUAUGCCCUGUGAAGAGGGAGCUGGGCAUGCCAUGUGUAAGAUUAUCAAUGCCAUGAGUAACAAUAUCGCAAGCGUACUGGGCUUAUUAGGGAGCACGGUGUACGCACCGCUGCAAACCGUGACCCGCAAUUUGCGGCGCCGCAGCACUUGCAGAAGAGUACAGUUAUCCAGAAGGUGCACCAAUGAACCUAGGCUGGAUACCUGAUGAUCAGCCACACGUGGGACAUGCCGACAUUUAAGGACCACUGGGCCAGCCGAACUCCGGAUCUCGACGCGCUCUCCUGCAUACGGGCUUUUAUUAUCCGAACUAGGUCAUGUGAAUAACAUCUGGUCAUAAACGCGUACUUGAUCCGGAUGUUAGGUGCUCCGUAUGCGUCGCAGGGUGGGCGCAGAACCAGAGAACACAAUUUCCAUUCUUGAAAAUCGUUGGUAGUACAUUUGUCAAUGGUUAGCGGAAGUGCAUCCCACGGUGGGAUUUUUUUUCCGUUUAGGGCGGGUCUCAAAUAAUUCUAACCUAUGUAACAAAGUUGCUAGGGUCGUCGUAAUUUAUUCCUUAAGUGUGAGGCUCUGGGGGGGGCUAUGCCCCCCCCAGACCCCCCCGAUAAGUUACAACUCCCCUCAUAGACCAAGAGUCACGCACUGAGUUGGCGCGUUUUCGUUCGUGUGUGCACUCUUCGUGCACAUGCGGCCGCACCGCAUUCACUGUUGUUAUCGUUGUUGUCGAGCUGAUUAGGCGAUAGCUUGCGCUUAUGCUGAUUACCCUCCAUGGAGGGCAGGGGUAAUGGCGCCCGUGUCAUCGGUCGCCGCUGGCAGCAACACCAUUGUCGAUGCAUUACCGACAAUAGCACCGCCAUCCCAAACGCCUGUAUCAGGAAAAUUUCCAGGCUUAUUUUGCUGUUUUGGUGUCUGUCCGACGUUCGAGUCGUUGCCUUUUGCGUGUUUGGCUAUGUGAGAACCGGUCACACAUUCUGCUAUGCCGCGUUGACUCACGGGCUUGACCUUCUUACGGCCCCUCAUAUCUAUUCUAUGAUUGACUAGGGGGGCGGCCUUUCAAAGCCGAAAAGGGGCUCGGCCCCGGUGCAGCCACUUGACCCCCGUUUGAUUCGCAGGGAAGUCCGUACGGCAUAAGAGUGCCAGCACAAGAACGCCGCCGCGUUUGGAGUACAGACUUAUUAUUGAAAUCCUCAAACAAUAAAGGUCGGCAGACUUGCUACAGCGGUGUAGACCUGUCUGGAUCAUCGCAAGCACGCAGCCGCCAUAGCAUUAUCAGUACUCUAUUUACUGAACCGUUAGCCUUCUCGUGAUGCGGCAAUCCGUAGAAUGACCUACACACAAAGCAGGAGUGUCAUUGCGGCAACGUGUGUUGCCGCUGCUGCGCCAAAUCCAUGAGUCGGGACUGCCCGAUAGGUAGGUGGUACUACCGUUGCAUCCAUGUUCGACGCCGGCCCAUCUGCUGGCUGGCUGGCAGUUCAAGGCGCGCCAAAGUGCUUGUGCUUCAUGGACCAAUUGUUGUCCGCUCCCAGCCAGAACGCAUUCGGGCAUCGUUCCAAUUGAACAUUAUGAAGUCGGAAUGCAGCGGCAAAGCUGAUGGUGUGUCGCAAAGGCACACUUCAUUUGAACUUGGAUUGAAUGAAUGAAGAAGAGAAUAAGAAGGACAACAAUCAAACAGGCACGAGCGAGACGCCAGGAGGGAGGUGGUUGCCAUGGGUUGGUCUAAAGUUGCCGAGCAUGAAGGAACCAACCCAUCAUGCCGUUUGCUUAUGAAUCUAUAAUGUAAGGGACAUGCAACGACGUCAGAGGCAAGGCUGCGGCGUGAGGGGAAGUCAAACUCGAAGCCAUCGAAAGCUAUCUUCGCGCUCCGAAGUAUAUAAAUGUUCUCCUUUGGCCAAUCAAUAAAGAAAUCAUGCAGCUUUUACAUGCAAUCCUUAGUGGAGUGAGAUAUGGAAAUUGAUCUCACCCUGGACAGCCAUCUUCGCCCACAGAUAUAUCUGAAUUCAUUCCCUUGGUCUAUCAAUAGAGAUUUAGAAUAGCUUUCCGACGCAAUUUAAAGGGGGGCGAGAUAUGAAAGUUAAUAUGUUAGGAAGCUAGCUUCGCCCACACCUUUAUCCGAAUUAAUUCCUUUGGUCCGUCGAUAGAGAGUUAAAAUAGCUUUCAAUCGCAAUUUUAAUCGGGGCGAAAUAGGAUGAAAUGUUACACCAUGACUGACGGACUGACAGCAGUGAAUCUACCCCCCCAAUGGCGCCUCGCGCCCGGGGCCUCGCCCAAAAAUGCCUGUUUAUUCCUGUUUAUUCCUUAUUUGCCACAUUGAUUACGAUGUGUAAGGUGGAGUGCAUGCAACUAUGGUAGCGUUUGGUAUAUAUAACAUCAGCUGCAAGAUAUGGACCAUGUGUUAUUACAAGUUACGUGUGUUCGUUUUUGUCAUUUGCUUUCGUCUUUCGUCUUCCGCUUCCGUCUCUUGCCGUACAUUUGCUGUGAGUUGCUGUAACGUGUGCGUUAGUGUUGAGACUUGCUGCAUGAUGGCUAGGCACGAUUAAUAGGAUUAAUUUUUGCAGAAUUAUGGAUGUCUAAAUCAUGUUUUAAUAUGGUGGGCUACGUAUUAGCUGUGCGCAAGUGUGACGGUGAGGAGUUGCUGCAACGUGUGAGAUAGUGAGACUUGCUGCAUGUAACCGUCUGUCUUUUGCUCGGCCACUACUUCGCAGUGCUCAUCUGCACUUCAUAAACUACCAUUAUUCCUCUCUUUCCUCUCUUUCCUCUCUUUCCUCUCUUUCCUCUCUUUCCUCUCUUUCCUCUCCCUCUUCUCCCACCUCUCCCUCCUCUCCCUCUCCCUAGCAUUAAUAGUCCAGUAUUAAAAGUUGAGCAGGCGUACAAAAGGCAGGCGCAACUAUGGCCCCAGCAUGCAAUUGGUUGCAAGCAGCAAACGGUGGAGACAUCGCCGCACAUAUUUCUGUUGCCCCUGUUCAGAGCGCGCAAUCGGAUUGCAAGCAAGGCCGUCCUGACCAUGAUCUCUGCCAUGGUGCGAGUGGCGUCAAACAUAGUCAGGCAUACGUGUCGGAGAAUCUUCGUUCCCGAAAUCAACAGCUGCACAGAAGUUGCACGGCAUGCAAGAGGGGUCAAGAGCACGGGCAAAAUCCAGCUCCCGCCUAUUUAGCAUUACGAGAUCAUCGCGAGCUUUCCUCGCUCGCAGUGAUAAAGCCGCAGCAUUUUCAUUUGCAAUGUGCAAAAGGAGUUUCCUUGUGCACGGAUAUAUCCCUCGUCUGCCAGUGUGCCAGUCCUCAGCGCUUGUUGGGAGUGGGUGACGACACGCAAGGCCGAAGUGAAGUUGGCGAAAUAUAAAGCUCCAGGCGUAACCGUGUUGCGGGUUCCAAGCCGGGAAACUCCCUUCGUAGCUGUAGCGGCGUCGUCAUAACUUGAGGUGCGGAAGCGGCCACUGGUCAAUCUUUGUCCCCUACAACGGAUCCAGUGUUCGAUUCCACGAACGUAAUGGGUCAAGAUUCCGCCCACAAUGCCAAAGGAUGUGCCAAAACACACCCCUGUCGCAGCAACACCCACUGCCAUCAACGUCGUCACCCCCACCACAGCACAGCCACUAUCUGGACGCCGCCGACACAACACUAUCACAAGCAGCAAAGAUGGUACCAACAUAUUACUCUCUGGCGCCUGACUACUGAGAACGUUCUUUGUCCCAGUAACACACAUUGAACGACACCCCAGAAUUACCAUAUGGACGCGGCGGUUUUGGAGGAGUCACAGGUAAGCAGCAGGCGCUACAUACGGUGGUGCAGGCGGUGAACAGCGACCAGACCGUUCUGCAGGACUAUCGAUCGAUAUCAGCAAGGAUGAGGCAUGAGAGCCGUUUGAAGUAAUUGGACUGCCCCAGCGCGGCUAAACAGCGUGAGCCACAAUAAUCCCAUUCUAUCAGUGGUGGUUGGACGCCUGUGUUGUCUACAAACAGUUACGCUGGGAGAUGAAAAGGGUCAACAUUUCAAACAAGUUAUGUCGGCUUCCUUGAAGCCGGACAAAGGGCGGGGCCCCCCUGCAUCCGUACAGGCCGGUAGCUAGCGCGGCAGUUGUUACAAUCUAUGGGUAGUGUCAACGUGGUGGGAGCUGUGCUUGUCGCAGCAGUGCUGAUGCUGUGGGAGGUGGGAUGCUUGUCAGAGCACGGGAGGCAGGAAGCCCGGCGGAAGGUCACCACGCCAUUCGGUGGGCAGUAGGGUGGGCAGAGGCCCGCAGGCACCAUAGUCACCUAGAACCUACCGUCACGCUGAUCCUGUAACCCGCCUCCCGAACCGCCCCGUACACAUGAUACCUCGGACAUAGCCUCGUCACCUACGUUGGGGACAUUCCAGCCUCCUCAAGCGCGGGGGAUCUACACACCGACCUCUACAGUUCGAAAUACCAAGGGGUUACCCAGAGGGCAUGGCACUAGUACUGGUGUAACGAACGAAGCUGGGAAACCCCUUGUUGCACAAGCGAGGGCAGCACUGGCCGCACUGGCCGAUAUUGUCCGCAGGCCCCCGAGAACACCGGUGGGAAACGAAACGCCCUAUGGAUGGAACCCCCCCCCCGCCGUGGGUCGGGAAACGCAUCCUCCACAUGAACGAGCGAGUGGAGGGGGGGGCAUGGAAAUUCGCGGAGGUGCGACGACCUCAUAUAGACGCGGAACGCAGAAACACCCACCUCGAGUUCCCACCUCGAGUUCCCACCUCGAGUUCCCACCUCGAGUUCCCACCUCGAGUUCCCACCUCGAGUUCCCACCUCGAGUUCCCAGCCCGCGUCCCGCUUCGCCAGGACGCCAGAGCAUCGGGCAUCUACACAGUGAUGGAUCAGUGCAAAAAUCCCAGCGUGAUGACAAAGAAAUACAAAUCGUAGGAGCUGCCGCGGUUGAUGCACACACCGACACGAGCAUCCACAUUGAUGUCAACGCUGGAACCAAUGGAUGCCAGAUCAUCACAAGAUGCGAACUGAGCGCAUGUAAUGCGCUCAAUUCACCAAGGACUGAAAUUCGACAAAGAAUGGAGCUCGAAGCGGUACCGCUCACAAACUGGACCGACUCAGCAAAGAUGAUACACCACCCGCAUAAACUCCAACUCAGUAAGCACAGGGACAUCCUAACGAACACCGUACGGCUCCUCAAAACAAGAGCAGUAAGUGGACUUCAAACUAAGAUACUGAAGGUGACACCGACGCGCACUGAUAUAAAGUACAGCGAGGCAGUAGAUGCAGCAGCAGUGCCGGCCGCACGGGCGACCACACCCUGAAUUGGCGUACGGGGCGACAUGGACGAGUCAAACGCAGUCUCGAUUACUGGUACGGACAGCUGUAGAACAAUAAACUCGCUAGGCGAUACGGGGUACCCCUGGUGGGCAAGAAAAGGGCCAUGUACGCACAGACCCAGCAGCCAGCAGCAGCACCUUGCCCGUUAAGCGGGGACCCUGACUCGGGGGGGACAUGUACUAGGAGGAUGCACCCAUCCCAACAUGACGGCGCUGUUUAUUAAAAGGCACAACUCAGCAGUCCGACUGGUUGUGAGGGAGCUGCCAACCGGAAGGUACGGAGGCUGCUAUAUGAUUAUGGACGCAGGGGCCCCGCGCAUCAGCCAUCCCCGACUAUUGUGCUGGUACACAUGCAUCCAUCCCGGAUGUUGGAUGGCCCCCCAACACGCCGGAGGCAGACCGGAGAGAAAAAAUGAGACCCGAUAUCCUCUUCAUACCCUGAGGCCUAUCCCUUGAGGAAACCAAGCCAGACAGGGUACGCUGGGCCAGGCGAGCAGUCCGAGUACACCGUGCACAUCGUUGAGAUAGAUAGGAUAGAUACCUCCGACACACAAGCCAUACAGCCAAACAGCGCGCCAAAGCACAGCAGCACGCAAAACUGGCGUAGGUCAUUAAUUUAGCAAAUAAAGUGAAUAAGCUGGCAUAAGUAAACCUUUUGCAUCUCUCUUCUUUUAUUUAAUCCAUGAGGUGCACUUUCUACAAAACUGGCAAAUGAACUGGAGGACACUGGCUGCCGUUGUGGAGGGCCCUGCACGUCGAGGCGCUGGAGCUCCGCUGCGAGACCCACGGCUGCAUCAGCCGCAGCCUCGUUGGCGAGGCCAAAGUUGCCGGUGUUUCCUACAGGUCAAACGGGUAGUGAGGUUGUGCCAGCGGAGAUCUACGUAGCAGGUUUUGGGUUUGGGUAGGGUUGGUAAUCAUGUCCAUGUGCCCUUGUGGUGCGACAUGUCAGGGUGGAAAAUUGUGGUGCGACCUACCGCGAGGGUCGAUGGGAUGGCACCAUCUUCACUGAAGUCUUCGAGCUCCAUUUUAGAUUAAAAACCUUUCCAGCUAGCUUUCUUACCUUGUCCAAUGUACUCGUUGACUUCUCCCAAACAAAGCGUUACGCUAGAUCCAGUUACUCUAUAUCUACCCACCUUAUACAGGCUGCGCCAUGCGUAAGUCUGUAUCAAGACAGGCUACUUUUGGGGAGUCACUCCGGAACCAACAGCUGCAGCUCCAGUUCUACAGCUCGGAGCUUGCUACCUUUCAUAGAGGCGCAGCUUUGUAUUCGGCAUUCAGUUGUCCGUUCAAUUAUGGUACCGCUUUCGGAUGCAUUGAACCUGGAACCCGCCGUACUCCUGCUUGACUUGUUACACGAGACUGUAUCCGCCCCGUGCUUGCAGGCUUUCCUCUGUACUCAUAUUUGUUUCCGUGGUGUUUUGUGAGUUAUCUGUUCCUGAUAGAGGUAUUGCAAGUAGACUACUGGCCGCCGGCCCAGUUUGAAGAAAGCGACAAAGAUGGCGACGAAAGUACAAAAGAUCAUGACCCAACCCAUCAACCUGAUGUUUCGCUUCUUACAGAGCAAACAAAAGGUGCAGAUUUGGCUCUACGACCAGGCGGACUUGCGAGUAGAGGGCCGCAUCAUUGGCUUCGACGAAUACAUGAACUUGGUGCUGGAUGAGGCAGAGGAGGUGUCCAUGAAGCGCAAGAACCGCAAGACGUUGGGGCGGAUCUUGUUGAAGGGCGACAACAUUACGCUUAUACAGACAACGGGACGAUAAGGGGCUAAGGCCUCAGAGGCAGCGGGUAUGACAUUAGGGCAACGACUUGACUUUAGACGACAGGAUGGGUUUCGGUGAUGGCGGUGACAUCUUGACCUCCUUUCAGUAUGGAUGCACCAUUGCCUUUGUGACGUUGACGACAAUAGAUGACUCGGUGCAGGUAUGUUGGCAUGUUACCUUGGAGCCCAGGUUAGCCAAGGGGCAAAGGUUCUCCGGAGUACGACAUUACUUUGCUGGGAGUUGCCUGGUGGCGCGUCCACCUAAAGGCUGGUCGGCGGUGUGGUCGAGAUUGGGGCAUGUCGGUAGAGUGGCUUGCAUUCCCAGCCGCGGCGUUGUCGCGCCAGCAUCAGGUGGUAGAGGACGGUAGGCGUAGGCGAUCAUGACCUACUCGACGCGUCCUCGUGUCCAUCAUGGCCUACUCCAUGCGAGCAACAUCAGGGUUACCCCAACAGCCGCGUAACACAAGUUACGGGACAUCGGGUGGGACUGUUGUGACGGGUGUGAACCGGCAGAGCUGCGGCGGAGUGUGCAUUAACAUUCAGGGCUUUCAGGUUCUUUCGGUCCGAGUUCCCGGCUGGCAGACAACGGGUUGGUUCAGACGUUUGAAAUGAAACGCGAUGUGGGUCAACGUUGCUUGCUUGGGACGAAGUUUGGCGGCUGUUUUCUUGUUUGUUAAUAAUUGUUUCCUGCGCGCUCAACCUGAAGCGUUCGGGGCGAGGAGGGGAUGAACUAAUAGAGGGUUUCAUGAUGAGAAGAAGGAAAGGAGGGCGUUUAGGGUUCGACGCGUCUGUGUUGGGAACACUCAGUGGAGCUUACACGCUGGUAAGAAAGCACUGACUGUUAGCCCUGGACGCGGCCUGGUUGUCUGCUUGGCCUUGGAAGUCUGAUGUUACGCGUUGCUUGCCGCGGCGUUCACAGCGUUUUAAAACCCUGGGUCUUGGAUGUGUUUUGGAUUUGGAUUCUUCCUGCACUCGGACUUGCUUGGCUUGUGGUUAUCUCUCGCAUCCGAUGACGACGCGCGUGUUGGGGACUUGUUGUCUCAAAGCUCAUGUAAUCCUCAAUUCCCCCCUUAAAUGGUCAUGCGCCCGUUAGGAAAACUUAUUUUUUGGUGGUGAUGCACCCUUGCAUUUUCAGAAGUCGAGCACAUGAUACCUUAGUGCCGCUAUGGUACCGUUCCUUUGGAAAUGUAGGCCCCAAAUCGUUAUCCGCGUAUGAGAGCGCGGGUGGCAUGAGUUCAACCUGCUCUUCUCUUGUUGGCUCUUGUGAUACACGCAUUGAUCAAUGCCCACCGAAACGCACGAAAAAGCCAAAGCGAACACACCACCAAGGAUGUCAAGGAAGUAGCCCGUACCUCCAGAGGCGCCUGACGAGAGCGCUCAUUCCAGGCCAGAAAUCUAAGUCGGGACCCUGCUGGGGAGAGGUCCUGUUGGGAUUAAUCCCAAGGUUAGGGAUACGCGCGAAAAUUUCAUUCUGCUUUCUUCGUGCGUCGUGCGUGGGAAUACUCUGCACAAAACAGGUAAGGCCUUUAAGAUGCACAGCGGCUCUACCUGUUGUCUGUGUAUGUGUGUGGUCGGGGGGCCGAGGAUAAACAAUUUUUUGCCAGACGCACACGAGUUGCAGUGAGUGGAUGGGCGCAAAUCCGAGCUCAAAGGCUGCUUUUUCUUGUGCUUCAAUGGACUAAAAAUGUUUAAGAUCCGCACCACCAUGUAAGCACAGAGAAGGUGAAAAGAAAAAGGAAAGAGUAGCAUGCGGCCAUAGCCAGUCCAAACAAAUGCCAUACUGCCGCGCCGCAGCGCUGCCAACACUUGCAAAGAGACACGGCCUGUUUUCGAUACAGGCACAUACACAUAGACACACAUACAUACACACCUGCAAGUACACACAAACCGAUAAGAGCUAUCACCCAUUUACACGUAGUAAACGUUUUGCUGUCUCGCCCCUUCCAUAACACAAUAUACGCGCACAUGAUGCAUCGACACACACACACACACACACACACGCACAGAUGGACGGGCGAUGUGAAGGAGAAUGAGAGGUAGAAUGCGUGUGCGCGCGCUGGGAAAGACACGGUCGCCCAGCCAAACAAAGCAUACGCCACCAACGUUCUCCGCUCUGAAAUCCGUAGUAAAACGCCAAGACUGGGCCCAAACUGCUAUACUCUCCACAACAGUAUGAAACUAUGAAUAGGUAUUGAGCCCCGUCAGAUAAUUAGUUAAUUAGUUAGUUACCAAGUUAGCGAGUAAGUUAGUUAAUCAAUUCGUUAGUUACUACGGGACCAAGCAGCUCCAUGGGAGAGACAUACAACGGGGGCCAUAAUACUCGGGCAAAGUCGAACACCAGCUGCAGUAGCAGCAGCAGCAGCAGCAGCAAAAGUUACGUUCCGUUUCGAGGGCGGGAGAUCCCCCGAAUGCGCGGGUGUGGAUAUGAUACAUAUCGAAAAACGCGCAGAAAGAGAGAACACCAUACACACUCGGCAGCUGCGACCCGUGGGUCUGUGGCGUCCAUUAUGACAAAAAGAGUGUACAAAACCCCACCAUUACAACCAUCCAUCAGUCAGGAGGCCUGCUCCGCCCUGACCAACCAAAACGUUCCAGAGAACAAAACCACAACCCCCGCCUUUUUAUUUACGCUUACCUAAUCUAAUUCAGUACAUUCUCUUAUCAUCUGGAGAUGGGAUGACAUUCUUCUCUCAAUACCGAAAGAGGGUGAUGUUGUCAGUUGCGUUCUUCCGUACCGUCGCCUUAAAGCAGCUCUCCCUAGCAAACCUCUUCCAACUCUCCCUCCUCCCCGUCAACCUGUUCACCUAGAGGACCCUUCCCCCGCCUUCACAUGCGUUUGCCAGAAGGUGUAGCGCAUACACAUACUUACGCACACACACACACACACACGCACACACAUCCGCCGCGUAAAAGUUGCUAUUUUCCACGUGCCAUCCUCCACCUCCCUUCCCCCCUCCUCCGUCCCCCCCUCCUCCUCCUCCAAGUUCCUGUCCAAGGACCGGAUUGCCAAAGCGCAUCACACGCAUCGGCAGGUUUCCCCUCUCAGGCAAGAUAUACAAACAAACAAACAAACGGGUUUGUUGGAGGAGACGACGGCGCCGAAACGAAACACGUCGGGAAAUUCUCUUACCGUCCGCCCCACCAACACGCCCCCCAUAUACACAGAGCAGACUGGGUCAUGACGCUGUGUGGGUUGUCCCGGUGUGGUGCUGCCCCGUCGGUGAACUGCCUCCCUAGCCCCGUCGGUGAACUGGUAGCUGCUAGCCUAGUCCGUGCCCGGCCCCCGGCCCCCGUCGCUUGCGCGCGAGAGGUGUUUAGCGCGAGUUUCUUGAACCCUGCCUGGUCCCCCGCAACGGAGAAUCGGUUGAAAGGCCGGGUGAGCUCUGUAUUAGGGCCUUGUGCCUUAGUAGGGAGGGGUAGCGUAUACAAGGGUUUCCUCUGUCUUAGUGAACCCUCAUCCCAAGAGCCCGAUCAGGCCGGGGAUGGAGAGGGGAGUCUUGUUUCGUGUUUGAGGCUCCGUGCGCGACAACUCGCGUGACGCCGCCUUGACUCGUGACAACGCGUGCGCGUGCGACGCCGCCUACCCCGGGGGGGGGAGGAGAACGGAGCUAGCCGACCUGCGGCUCUCGGCUAUGCUUAGGAGGGGACAGAGGCCCCUCUCCCGUCCGCGGGAGAGAGCUUAGGCGGUCUUUCCGUUGGGACUGGGCAGCAGCCCCUGGCCAGUGUCAGGCCCGGUCAGACAUGUGUGACCUUCACAUACACACACACGCACACACACAAACACAAUCGCACACAGACACACACGCACACAAACACAGCUGCCGCAUCAAUUAGGAGCCUCUACGGGUGUCAUUCAGAGUCGCCUCUACGGCUCGUCGCGAUAAGGCCCCGCCCCGUCUGGAGCGCUGAAGUGGGCGAAGGCGCCGAGCCCGGAAGCGCUAAAAGAGCAACGAGGGGCAGGAGAGAGGUGGGUGAGAGAGACCUCAGCGUUUGUGGCGCCCUAGUCCCCCCUCACCCCCUCACUUCCCACCUCUUUCCUGUUCCUUCCACAACACACGCCACACAAGGCCGGUGAUACAGUUCUUCCCUCGACCGAUAAGAGGUCGCCUUCGCCUUCGCCGCCCGCCGACCACUCUCCUGAAGUGGUGGCGGUUAGUACGACGGGGUUGGUGGCCGCGACUUUGUGGCCGCGACUAUGUAGACGAACAAACAACGAGAAAACGCACACAUACCUUGAAAACGACAAAAACGCGUUGGUGCCGUAAAAAGGUUUUUUUACACACAAAAUAUGCAAAAUCACACAUGCUACAUUUUACUUCGCACAGAUAGGUAGUUUGGUAGUUAGGUAGUUAGAUAGAUACACGCCACAGGAGUACACAUUCUUCACAUUCCACUAAACUCCCAUUCAACAACACAAAGCUCCUCUUUCAUGACAACUCUCAACCCACGACCUCCACCUCCCGCAACUCAUCACAGAUGAACAUUCGCUGCGGCGACGACAAAAAAAUCCCACGUCGAGGGUGUUGUGUAGUGGAUAUUGGGUGGUGGUUUCUUCCCGCAGUUGAUCAUGAUUUUCCCCCUUCCCUCAUCGCCUCCUCUAAUCAUCAUCAUCAUCAUCAUCCUCUGCGGGUUCCGGACAAAUGUCAAUGACUUUUCUAAAGCCACACAGUGUAACGGCGCUACGCAAAACGCUUAAAAAAACGCAAACUUGACGGCCCCGACAGACUGAUAGACAGACAACAAUUCAAAAACGUCCGUUCCAUAAAUCGUCCUCGUCAGUUCCUGACCGCGAUGACGCCGACUCGAUCCAUUUAAACAGCAAAUGUCUUUUCCCCCCCGCGAAAAGAGGGAAAAAAACACCCUACCCACAAUUUUUCCCCGAUGACAAUUUUGACUUGGCGCUGUUAUCGUUUCGUGAUAUUCUUGCAACAACCGUGUUAUGCUGUCUGUCUGUCUGUCUGUCUGUCUGUCUGUCUAUCUGUCUGUCUGUGUGCAUGCAUGUUGUGUAUUUCUGGGAUGGUAAAACGGUACCAAACUUCUCGAAAACGAGAAGGAGGUGUGUCUGGUAAGCACAUCUGUACGUAUCUAUGUAUGUAUCUAUGUAUGUAGGUGCGUCGCGGUACGGGCUAAGUCCUCUAUCACCCCAGCAAAGGGAGCUGAGACCAAGGCAGUAAAUAAAGCAGUAUGUACGGGAAUAUGUACGGCAGUCAGGGGAAAAUGGGAGGAAUCCCCGAGGAGAAACGCCGCCUGCACUGCGCGUGGGUAUGUGAAUGCCUUGUGUGUGUGCGUGUAUGCAUGUAUGUAUUUGUAUGUGUGUAUUGCGUGCAUGUGCGUGUGCGUGUGCGUGUGCGUGUGGUUGCUCCACCACAUGUCGCUGGCACACGUCCGAAACAAUCGCACCGGCGCCUCCCCCUCUUUCCCCCCUCCUCCCCAUCUCUCCCCCUCUCACGCACAUACAUACAUACACACAGCCACAGCCGCAGUUUCCAUACCCACAAAAGCCAAUGAACCCACCAGCCGCCCACUCUAACCCCGCAACCCCAGCAAACCUCACGUCCGUACCGGUCUCCACUCCGAGCACUUCAUUCGUCGCCAGAAGAUAUCAUCAAAACCCUAAGAAAAACGAACACGUCUCUCCUUCAUCAACAACUCAACACGGCGCAUUCAAUCCAAAUAAGACUGGGACCAUAACAACAUUGAGUCGUUGCCGUCUCAUCAAAUCAUCAAGGCGGCGGCAGGCCAGCUGGUAAAUAGCUAUUUAGCUAUUUCAAGGGCAGAAUAGCAAACGUCCCAUGAAGGCGGCAAUGUGCCAGCUCCGCCAUGCCCAUGCCCAUGUCCUCACGACGAGUACCUCCAAGUACCUCCAAAGCUCACAUCUAGAGAUGACGGCAUUUGAAAUACGGCUCAUGAAUAUUGGCGAUGGUGACUCGCUGGCUUGCUGACGGUGUGCCCGAAACUCCUCCCCCCCCCCGCCCUUCCUUUCCCAGCUAACUGUGACUGUGACAAGAAAAAGAAGAAGAAGAAGAAGUGAAAAGUGAGACACGCGCACAUGCGACACCAAAAACCAUCCUACCCACCCAUCCCAACCCCCGCAAACCCCCGCAAACGCCCACACACGGUCGAGGCCCGGCCCCCAGGGGGCCCCCCCAGCCAGCCAGCCAGCCAGCCAGCCAGCCAGCCAGCCAACAAGCAGAAGCCAAGUUAGGCAACACCUAACCUGGCGUGCUAAAUUAGGCAACCCGCCUGCGCAACACAGAGCUCCAUACCAUACACAUACCGGAUAUGUAUUUACAUAAAAUACAUUAAUUUAUUACAUCAUUCCGGUUAUGGAAUCGAGGGCCUUACGUGCGAGGUUUACGCAGCCCAUCAGAUCCCAGAGACCGCCCUCGUAGCCGAGUGCGCCGAUCCUGGCCGCCGCCACCACCGCCGCCGGCUCGAUUCCAGGGGCGGACACAGCCAGGUUGAAGGCACGUGAUUCGUUGGCGGCUCGGCGCCAGGCGUCAGCGGCCGCAGCACAUGUCUACAAAUGAUGAGCAAAGAGCGAGGCCCGCGUGUGAUGUGAUGUGAUGUGAUUUGAUUUGAAGUAAUGCGGAAAGAAAGGUAAUUUGGUUUUUUUACACCCCUCUUCAACAUAGGUUAUUAAAUCCUGCUGUUUGAUUUUUAUAAUUAUUCCCGUUUGGCGCCCUUUUAAAACAACACCGAUUUCGGUCGCUGGUCACCAGUAACUGCACCUCUCGCCAAAUUAAAUCAAAUCAAACCAAACCAAAUUGAAAAUGUAAUGUGUGCGUGUGUGUGUGCGUGUGUGUCUCUAAAUUGGCUGCAUGCACUGUUACCCUUGUUGCUGCUGUUACUCUUGUUAGCUGCUGUUGCUGUUCCUGAUGGUGACCAGCCCAAAGGACGUACCUGUAAGCUCUCCGCCAUCUGCUGGAUGCUGGCAGUGUAGGUCGAGGCCGUAAGAGCCGCAGCCUCCAGCGUCGACGACGCGCUGUCGGCGGCCGCCGUCGGCGAUGUACGGCGUCCACCGCCAUCAUCACCACCGCCGCCGCCGCCGGGCAUCACUGGCCCCGUUCCUGGCUCAUGGAGCUUCAAGGCAUUGGCCAACGUGUCCUGGUUGACGACCAACCAUCUUGUACGGCAGAUGGCGGUUAGCUUGAGCGCCAGCAACCGUAUCGCCUCCAGUACGAGCAGCUCUGCUGACGGCGCCGGGCCGCUACCGCUGGCGUGAGCGACAGCUGCCGCCAGCGGAUUCAUCGGCGUGCCUCCGCCACCGCCACCUCCGCCGCCGCCAUGCUGAGGUGUACGAUUCCCGCCGCCGCCGCCGCCGGCCGCUGCCCCCGGUCCUGACGGCGUCUGCAUGCCCAGCGACCUCGCUGAGUUCGUUGGGCUGCCAGGCGCGCCUUUAGCCGGCGGCGGCGUCGCUGGCGUUGCGCUGGCGGCCGCCCUUCCCGACGGCGCCGCCGCCGCCGUCGCCGCCGCUGGCUGCGCAGCCGCCGGUCGCGGCAGCUGCUGCGCCAGACGGUUCGCUUCAUGGCUCACGACUGCCAGCAUUUGUGCGGCUGCUGAGAGGAGCUCUAGGGAGGCCCUCAUGCCCGCCUCCCUCUCCUGACCCGCCUGCUCAUGGCCGUACGCGCUUUCCAUGCUCUUCAGCGCACUCUUGCGUGGUGAGAGGUUGGGGAGGGAGGAAGUGGAAGGCAUAUUGUAUGACACAACAAACAACAAACAACACAUGUAUAAUUUUAUUUAGGUGGUAUUAUAUAGAAUAUAACAUAUAUUGAUAUUAAUGUAAUAUUAAUAUUAAUAUAGUAUUAAUAAUAUGGUCUGGUCUGGGUUGACACUACUGCAAUUAGCGGUUUAAGGUCCUGGGUUCGAUUCCUGGGGAGACCCCCGAAUUAGUCGGGAGCGCGAGAUUAUGGCUAGCUGCUGAGAUGUGGAGUUGAGGUCACAGUUGAUGGACCAGAUUCGCACGCUAGAUUGGUGGCGAUUGCCGAACCCUCCGUCUCUUCGGGUGUUCGGGUGAAUGGAAGAGGAGGGGUCCCUGAAGGCUGGAUCCGCCGCCUUGGACUUACAGUUCGUAUGGCGAAGUACAGUGUGGUAGUGGUGGAUGGUGCUAUAAGGUGAUAAAUGAUCUAGAACUGACAAUGUGAUAAAGCGGCCCAGAAGCCUCCCACUCUGUAACAUUACAUUACAAUAAUAUAUACCAUAUGAUAUAUAUUAUUAAUAUUUUAUUAUAUCAUAUAUCAUAUAAUAUGAUAUAUUUUAUCAUGCAUACACGGUAUGGUAGGGCCGGGGCAUGCCCCAAUGACCGGCCAACCACCAAUCAUCAAGUACUGUAUUCACCAACCGCCAACCACCAACCUGCAAGUACAGCGUCAGCUGUAGUGUAGUCCAACGGUUACCGUUGGCCUCUCGGUUGCUGUCAGCUCGUCGACGCAGUGUACGGCUUUCUUCCGCCAGUGUUUUUAUGUGGGCCUUAUUGAAUAGCGACCGCGGGGACUCCACCAUGUAGACGCAAGAGAACUGGAGAUGAAGAGGCGUGGCGUGGCGUGACGGGGAGGGGCGGCGUGGUGUGUUUCGUUGUGUUGUGUGUGUUUGUGUGUGUGUGUGUGUGUUUGUGUGUUUGUGUGUUGUGUGUUUGUGUGUGUGUUGCAUCCGCUUCUUGUAAAAAACAAUCAGCGGUUCCGCCUUAACCAACCAAAAGAGGUUCCAAUACGAAAAGGGCUACAGAAGAAAGCAGCGACAGAGGUGCAAACGAACAUGCGAGGUAAAGGAAAGGAGAAAGACCACCGUGUUGUGUUGUGUUGUGGUAUGCUUCGUGUUUCAUAACGUGGCAUGACUCCUAUGGGAUGUCAUGCAUGACGUGGCAUGACGUAGCAUGACGUGGCAUGACGUAGUUCUCGGGCUAGGCACUCACUGCCCUGCCAGCCACCCACUUCUCCCCUCGGCGGGCUGCAAAUGCUCCACCUCCCUCGGCCCCCCUAUAACGCACACGUUACCCCCCUCUUAAGCUUAACAUACAUUACAGAGAGAGAGACAGAGAGGACGGGAGGGAGGGAGGGAGGGAGCGAGCUGUCGGUUUGCACCUCUAUGAGAUGGUCCUGCACCCCCAAACCCUCAACCCAAUCUUUCUUCGUAAACAAAACAAAUUUACAAGACGAUUAGCAGCCCAUCAUUAACCGUUGUAACGCAACGCAAACCCCCCCUCAGUCGCCGUCCAUGUCUCUACGGACAUCCAAGGACAUGUAACACGGCGCGCACAUGCAACACGCCGUACACCUGACUUUGUCACUAGUCUCAAAGACACCCAGUGAGAGCGAUCUUUUAGGCCCCAACAUAAUAAGAAUAACGUAACAAUAAGGAUAAAAGACAAUAAAGGAACGGUGGCGCCAGGAAAGGGCAAACCGGAGGGCAUUACCUCCUCCUCCUCCUCAUGCUCUUUCUUGACAGUUAAGUUAGUUACCUAAGAUUGCGUCACUUGCCUGAAUCAUGGACAGCGCCAAGAAGCCCAAAAGGUCUGGUUCCAUACACGCCGACAGCGGCGCGUCGCCGCCGACGCGUGCCGUACCCGGCGGAUCCAGCGUCGCAUCAGCAUCGUACAGUAUGGAAGCUGAAGCCCCCUGCCCGCUGCUCGUUGCCGCGCCGCUGGCACCGCAGGCGACGCCGUCCCGUCCUUGAGACCUAGUGGAUUUGGCAGCGGCGGCGGCGGCGGCGGUGGUGGUGGCCGCGGCGCCGCCGCCGACACACCCGCUACUGCCAGCAGGGCCUGCGCCGUCACCGGCUGUGGCGUGCUGUAGCGGCUUGCCUCGGUCCUGUUGCAACUUCGCUAGGGCCCGUUCCGCCUUGCCUUGCAGAGCACCCUGCUGCUGGUGGUGGGAGUGCUGCUUCGGCAGGUUUUGGAGCUGGUGUACGACAGUCGGUGAUGCCUGGGAGCCAGGCGGCCGACGACCGCCACCGAGCUGCCGCCCGCCGCCAGGCGCUGCUGCUGCCGCCGCCGCCACCCCGCCCCGCGAGCCGCCUCCCGGGGAUGUGGCCCGGCUCGGCUGCGCGCUGCCGGGUGGCGCCGGCACUGCCGCCGGCGACGCUGCGGUGCCACUGCCUCCGCCUCCGCUGCCUCCGCCACCUGUCCGAGCGGGGCUUAGGGCACCCAUGGACAUCGGGCUGUGAGUGCUGCUGUCAACGGGAGUCGAGGUCGCCGCCGCCGCGGCGGCAGCGGCGGCGGCGGCUGCCGCCGCCGCCGCUGACCGAGCGUGGUGUCGCUGGCCAAACCCGAUGCCACCGCCCGCGCCGCGGCGCCCCGGCGCAGCAGCGCCCAGUGCGGACGUUGACGCAGCGGGCAGCUGAGCACGCAUCGGUCCUGGAGCUUCCGCCGCCGCCAGCGUCGUCGCCGUCGUCGCCGUCGCCUCCGCCACCGCUGGCGCCGCCGCUCCGGCAGCGGCCACGGCCACCGCCGGCCUAUGCUGUCCGGCCUUCGCUGACCCCUCGUUGUCGGAAUCAUCCAGAUCCAUGUCGGAUCCAGAACCUCCCCUGGAGGCGCUUCCCUCGCGUCCGCACGUCGCGCCGCCGCCGCCGCCGCCGCCAGCUUCACGAUGCGGUCGUUUGUAGGGAUACACGCUGCCGGCAGAUUCCGACUCCAGGUGCGCCUCCGCUGCAUUGCGUCGUAUGGCGCUGCCGCUGCCGCCAUUAGCGGCGGCGACGCUGCCGGAGCCAGCGGCAACGCCGCGCCGGUGCUGUUGCUGCUGUUGUUGUUGCUGUAGCAAUUGCGUUGCUGGCGGAAGCUGUAGCGGCUCGGCGGUCAGCCGAGUAGCAGCGGAGACUGAGGCACCAGAGGUGCCGCGAUCACCGCGACCAACCCCAGCCGCAUCGCGUUGCGCGCGAUCUGAUGUACGACCGCCACUACGGUCGUGGCACCGGCUGUCGUACCGACAUCCGUUGCCAUCGUACCGACUCUCGGCGCCGCCGCGCCGGUCGGUAGCAGUAGCACCGCGGGUUCUGUCCCUUUCCCGCUCUCGUUCCCUGCUACUGCGGUCCUUCUCACGCUCCCGCUCGCCUCGUUCCGUACGGCCGCCGUACCGAUCUCGUUCCCGAUCCCUGUCCCGGACGCGAUCAUAAUGGCCACCCUCCCUGCCGCCGCGGUUUCGCUUGUCGCGCCAGUCCGCCCGGACAGGCGAGCGGCUCCUGCUACGGCUACGGCUACCGCGCCGCCGCGGCGAACGGCUGUAGCGUCGUCUCUCCCGCGACCGAGAUCUGGAUCUUGACCGAGAUGAUCUCGCCAAAACACCCUGCUGCUGCAAACCGCCGCCGCCGCCGCCGCCGCCGCGCCGUAACCCCGUUCCCCGUUCCUCCACUGCUGGCCCUCCUGACGAAGCCUCAACGGCCGUCGCCGUCGCCGUCGCCGUCGCCGCCGCCGUCGACCGCUCCCUGCUGCCUCGCAUGUCCCGCUCCCGUUCCCUCCCUCGAUCGGCCGCUGAUUCGCGCUGCUCGGAACGCGAAGGGGACCUGGAGCGUCGUUUGUGGCCCAAGCCCCGCCCCGAAGCACUAGGCAGGUGAUGAUGGUACGGAUCACCGCCGGCAAAGCUCAUGACCUGGAUAUCCGGUACGACAUCCUGUAAUGACCCGUGGGUCGACAAGUGCGCUACCAGACCCUUUGCCCGCGACAAAUCCACCACAUGACCCAUCUGCGCCGCGUCUGCGGCGGUAGUGGUGUCGCUCGGCACUGUCGCCGCUGCCGCCGCCGCAAGCGGCGGCGGCGGCGGCGGCGGCGGCAGCGGCACGGCGUUAAUCGGCGUGCCCCAACGGCGGCGGCGGCCGCCAUUGCUACCGCCGCCGCCAUCUUCCCCGACUUGCCCUGGCAGGCCUUCUGAAGCCGGGCCACGGCUGCCCGCCACGUCAGCUGCUCCCGUGUCCAAAUCCGCAUCUUGACCGUCAGCGUCGGCGGCCGCCGCCGAUGCUGCUGCUGCUGCUACUGCUACCGCUGCCUCUCCCGCUGCCGCCACCUCCGCGGGCAGCGGUAGCACCACUUCACUCAGCGUCAGUGGCAGCUCGCCUGACUCCACAUGCACCAUAUUCACCUACUGGUCGCGCCGCCGCCAGCGCCGCCGCCAGCGCCGCCGCGGCCCUGCAUCAGCAGCAAUGACCCAAGGGACGAGGACCGCCCGGCGAGCUGCAGCCCCGGCGCCGCCGCCGCGGCGCCGGCAGCAGCGGCAACGGCGGCGGCUGUCAGGGCCCCCAGGCUCCCGCGAGGUUGCAUGACGGAGGACGGAGUUCCGCCCACCGGGGUAUCCGCGCUGGGCAGCUCUCCGGACUCGAGUGUCUGUGCCAUCACACAACGGAAGUCGUCGGGACGGACAACGGAUAAGCAGACGCAGCCCACCGGGCACGUCAUGCCGUGUGGAGAAAUCCGCCAAAAAAAAGUGGGGGCGAAGCAAGGGUAUAUGAUGUCGAGAUGAGGAGUGAGAUGACGAUGAGCGAGAUGAUGACGGUAUUUUAAGAAAAUAGAUAAAAAAAAUAGAGAGAAUUUCAGGGCGUUGGGGACAGUUGAGAGACGGCGAUAUCCCCUAGUCGAGGAUGAAUGAGGACGUCCCCAAACGAUUGGCGCCGGAGAGAGAGAGCGAGAGGGGGGGUUUCACCAGAGACGUCCACCGAAGAGCGAGAAAGGCCUUAGGCGCUGUAUAACGUCCCUUCUCGCAGCUGCGGCGGAGUUACACCCGUUUGGAUUUAUAUUACCAAAGCCACCCAAAGCCAUCCCCAACAUAACCUUCAAGAACCCACAUGCAGACGCCUGCAUCAACGACACUGCGCUUUCUUUCUUCUUUCCGCCGCGCGACAGGGCGACAGGGCAGCACAACGGCAAUGAAUGUGGUGGUGCCUGGGUCUAAAGCUACUAGGACCACAUCCCCACACGUGCAGAUGGUCAGUUCCAUUCCGGGUUCCCCCCCUUUCCAGUUCUACGUCUGGUACACUCUUGCCCUGGCAGCAGCUUCACUCGUCCGUGGUUCGUCUUUUUCCCCGCAUCCGGGUUUAAAGUAGUCCACACCUGCAGUGAAAUAUUGGACGUGCGCUGGCCCACCGAAAGAGCCAUAGGCGUCCUCCCGGACGCGGCCACCGACGGCAUCGGCGCCCAUUCCACGUGUUGUUGCUGCUGCUGCUGCUGCUGCUGUUGCCGUCGCUGCAUCACAUGCGGAUGACCGGCCGCCGCCUCUUCCUCUACCACGGCCGCCGCCUCCGCAUCUAGAGCGGCCGCCGCGGCCCCGUCUGCCGCUGCCUCCUUUACAGCCUCCGCUGCCUCCUCUACCGCCGCUGCCUCCGCCGCCGCUGCCUCCUCUACCGCGGCUGCCUCCGCCGCCGCUGCCUCCGCCGCCGCUGCCUCCGCCGCCGCCGUCGUGAAUGCCUGGGGAUAGCUUGGCGACAUUGCCGACAGUGCCACGUCAGCCUGCCCUACAAGCCGGUCUGCGCCUCCGCCAGCUUUCGUCGCAGCGUCCUCUAAACCCUCAUCCAGCGCUGAACCACAAAUUCCCAAAUCCCUCGCCAGCGCGCCAAUUCCCCCACACCCUUCUCCACAGACAGGACCCGCUACUCCUGCUACUGCUGCUGCUCCGUCCGUUGCUGCUGCUGCUGCUGCGGCGGCGGCGGCGGCCACAGCAUCCGCCAUUGCAUCCACUGCUAAGGUCUCCCCAUCAUCCGACGCACCCGCGCCUGGUCGUCGGAUGGUCGUCGUCGUCGUCGUUUGUCCUGCAGCAGCAGUCGCCGGGCGCAGCAACGUUCCUGCCAUGGCUUCAGACGCGGCGGUACCUGCGGCUCCGCCUGCGUCGCCGUCUCCACCUCUCGUUCCAGCGCCGUCGUCGGCACCAGAGUCCACCCAACCAUCCAUUAGCUCUACCAACAUUGCAUCCACCGCGUCAUCCGCAGCGUGGCCGUGUUCCCCGCCGCUGGCCGCACAUUCCACGGCGACCACGGCGACGGCAGCCGCAGUGGCGGCAGCGGCGGCCGCGAUCACUCCAUCGCCGGCGCCGCCAUCCACGUCCACUCCUCCGCUAGCACCCGUGCCCGCGCACCUCGCACGCACUGGCAGGCUGAUAUCCAGCGCCGGACUAAGGGCUAAGUGCUUCAGGGUUUCGGAGCUAGCGCGCGCCUGCGGAUGGGUGACACGGAAGACCCGUGGGUCAGUGAGAUCCUGCGUGGCGGGCAUCCCGUUCGUGUCCCCGUCCAGCAUGUGCCUGCGAGCAAUACUACCAGCCUCCAGGAGGACUCUGCAAAAAGGCCAUCUCUGCCCCCAGCAACCAUCCCUGCAGUAACAGCACCCACAUCCGCCCCCGCGCCCACACCUACGCGCGCAUUCGCUGCCAAUACACAUGCAAUGGUACAGCCCUGAUCCCGACUUCCCAAAGGUUAGACAAGACCUCCCUUUCAUUCCUUUUGGUAAAAAUCGCGGCUGCCCUACAUUUGAAGGACGCCGGUGCUGGUGCUCCACCCCAGCUGCGUCGUUUGGGGCAGCAGCAGCCGCCCCUGCAGCAGCAACAGCCGGUUCGUCCGCCGCAGGCGCGGCGAUGUCGGUGGCGGCGGCAGCGGCGUCGCCAUCCCCAUAGUCUGCCGACGCGGCGAGCCCGUCAGCGGCGUCUCGCGACCCACGGGUCACAAGCACUCCUGCUGCGUCGCCGCUCCGUGCCAGGGCCCCUUGCACCGCCUCGCCUACGUCCAUUUCGUCUGCCCUCGCCAUUGUCCCCUCAGGCCGCCUUCGCCGCAGCUCCGUCGCGCCUUCUGGCCGCCCCGUCGUCGCCGCCGUACCGUCUGCUCUCCCCGCCAUUGCUACCGCCUCUGCCACUAAUGCAGCGCCGCCGCCGCCGCUGGUGUUCUGCAUCGUGUCACCCGUCAACCCUUGCAUUACCACCUGCCGCGAACAACCAGCUACUGCUACUCCUGUUGCUGCUACUGCCGCACCAUCACCAUCGCCAUCCGCGUCUGUCUCCACGUCCAACGGGCUCGUCCCGCCAGGCGACACGUCAUGAACGCCCGGUGGCCCGUGGGUCAGUGGAGCAAGGCCAGGCUGCUUCUUGACCGAACCCGUUUGGCGCCGCUCUUGCUGUUGCUGCUGUGGGUAACGCUGCUGGUAUUGCUGGUGAUGUUGUUUGUUAUCGGGUGAGUGCGUCGUUCGGGAGUCUGUAGGCGAGGGCCCUCCGCUUUCCGGGUCUGUCGCGGCCCCACGAGGGGCGGCGGCUGCCAUGGUGGGUCGAGCCCUAGGGUUGGGCCGCGGAAUGUUGAACCCCCGCGGGCCCUUGCGCUGCUGGCCAGCUUCCUGUUGUUGUUGCUGGUGGUGCUGCUGCUGCAAAGGUUGCGACUGUUGCUGCUGCUGCGCCGCGUGCGCGUGCGCAAGGGCAGCAGCAGCAUUGCGAAGCCGGCCGACACCGCCGUUGGCCUUCUUGUGCUGCAAAUGCGGUUGCGGCGGCCGUGCUGCUGCUGCGGCAGCAGAAGCACCGUUGGGCGAUGCAGCUGUCUCCAUAUCCGGCUGCUGGUGCUGGUGCUGCUGUUCCUGGUCCGGCUGCUGUGGCGCCGGUAAGGACUGCUGAUCACCUGUGGGUGAAGCUGGGAGCGAGGCGGAUAUGGGUCAUCAGGCCGUGCCAAAGAGAUUUCCAGACCACGUUUAUGUUGUGUUGCGUGCCGAAAGAAGCAUCAAUUGAAAAAACGCAUAAGAAAGAGUGGGGUCGCAGGGAUGAUGAUGCCAUCGCGCUACGCGGCCAGCCAAACCAAAGACUGCUAAGUGAUUUGCGGCCCUUGCGGUCGAGGUGAAAACGGGCGCCCAGGCACUGUACAUGGGUGCUAUGGUAUCAUGCAGCGCUGCGGGUUGGUGGUAUAAUGCAGGCUUGGGAGAAGUAAAAUUCCAAUCGCCGAGUCCCCAUUACCUAGGGCCCCACGGCCGUUCUCCACGUGUUCAUGGAGCCCCGUAUUUGAAUAUGCCAGAGAAGGAGGCGUUUUGCCGUGCACCAAGGUUUGGCUUUGUGCCAUGUGUGGUUGAUAACAAGGCAGAUGGGCCAGAUAACCCGCUGAGGUCAAACUCACGAACGAAGUCGUUAGUUCGUUGAUUUGUUAGUUGACGAGUGCGAGGCCCGGGCUGGAUGUGCGCGGCCAAGCCUCGCCCAUGUAAGGUAAGGAUAAAGGGGUAUCCAAGGGUGGGCGUUGGGGAGAGGAGGCUAACCAGCAACGUGUCCCCGCGGCUUCGGCUGUUCUCCGCCGGGGGCGGCUACACAUCACCUAUCGCUUACCAUCGCCAGUGGGUGGAGAAGAGACGCCAGGCUCCGCAGUGCUGGGACCUGCGUCGCUGUUGUCCACACGCCGGUUGCUGGUCGCGUCAUAGAACGUGCCAUAGAAACUGCCAUAAGGAUUGAGCUUUGCCUGAUAGGCGACUUUCGGCCACCUCAAAUACGGCGCUAGUCUUUGAACGCGGGCGAUCUGCGGGUGAUUCAUAUGCUUCUCUACUCAGUCGGGUGCUGGAGAGGUUAACAGCCGCACAAAGGUUGUCCCGCUGCAUGAGCUUCAACACCCCAAGAAUAACCCAAUAAGGCACGCUGUACGUCGUCAGUCUUUCAUAGCGGUACACAGGUGUAUCAACAGCAGUUUGAUUGUUCAAUAGGAACUUCACAAAACGCAAAAAAAUUCAACUCACGGUUUGCUGGAGGAGCUCCUCUAUGUCUUGACCGUUCGACCGUGACAUUCCGUCAAUCAAGAUCGUGCACACCUAGUGGAGUGUGCAGCCUUAGGCUCCGACCGGCAACACAAGGCCACCCUCCGACCUGGGCCCCAGGCUCAUAACGCCGUGCGGCCCUGCUAGGGAAUAACAAAUUACUCUACAUCAUAUAAUUACAAACGUUAUUAUAUUGCCCAGCGGUAUCGGGAACAAGGUAACACUAAAGAUUUCCAUACGAAUAUUUCCCUCAAGCAAAUCCUCGCGGGCAAAUGGAGGAUUUUGGUGUUAACAGUGUACCUGUGCUAGGGUUAUGCAAUAGUUGCCGCAGUGAUGCCUUACCGGAGAGCUCCCUUGGAUGUUCCGUACGCAGGUCUCUCCUAACGAAACGCCAUGGAAGCUUUACGGUGUAACAUACAACGAGUGUUCUCACGUGAUACUUGCGCAUUUUUGCUUCUUUAUUGUUUGUCACAGCUUGCUUUUCACUGUCCUGUUCUGACCUGUCCUGGUCGCAUUGCAUGUACACAAGGUACCCGCUUGAGGCAAUACUAAUUGUUUACGGACAAAAACAACGUCAAACCUGUAAUGCGUAGUAUGUAACUUUGCUGUUAUGCCUGCCAAGGACGAGGAGGAGCUUGAGCUGCGUCAAACCCACGAGGCCCUGAGCAUCAUACUUUCAGAUGACAGUGCCUUUGAGGCUGUUUUGAACACCGUUUUCGAGGACAUCGACUUCAAACUUGAUGGGUCUGUAGACAAUUACGAGUUGGAGCGCUACAUCGGGAACGCGUGUGCAGGAAUGGGCUUGGCGCCACCUGAAACUGGUCAGAUACAUGGGAUAUUCCUUCACCUGGUGGGUCCAGCGCACGUGUGCCUCGCGAGCGCCGUUGUACCCGCACAUUCCUAUCUCAACCCCUUUGCCAACCGUCAUCUAUGAACCGUAAUAUGCCAGCAGCCCACACACCCAGCAGUAAGGGACCACUCUUCCCAAGCUUGUACGUCAUUCCUCUGGCCCUAUUUCGCUAUUUACACAACAACAACUGGCUGGCAGAAGUACCAAAGCCGUGCUCCGUACGAGUUAAAAUGCCAUGUCGUUGACCGACGCGACGCGACCGUGACUGGGUAUCACCAACACCAUCCAGUGCAUCUUCCUUACGGCCCACUCUCAAACCCUAAGCCUUCAAGGACACAUCAUUCGCAUUGCACAUCGCGAACACGCUCCUAACAUAGACGAGUCGAUUCUAACACAGAAACAAAGCACGCUCUGUGCACUCUAACGUGCGGGGCUCACAUGUCUAGACCCAUUUGAGGGCCACCAGACGGACCGGACCAAGCGACACUACCAACGUCCGCCGGUUCAGGCCGGUUAACUCUACACACGACCUUGUAUAACUAUGAAUAACUACUAAUAACUAUUUGUAACUAUUUAUAACUAACUACAACUAAUUGUGACUAUUUACAACUAACUUUAACUAUUUUUCGAAGCUGUCCAGUGAACGCCCGCACCGUCUCCUUGUACGCCCCCUGGCGCGCUUUCCUUGACGCCCGUCAUGCGCCAUUUUCCCCAACUCCCUUUUCCAGGACCUCAACAACGACAAGGCUAUCAGCCGCGAGGAGUUAGCUGUCUUUUUGCGGCACUUCUUUCAGCAGCAGGUCAAAUUCUGCGCCCUGAAGCUGCACCUGCCUAGAGCCCCUUAAGAAGCGCAAGUGACUUUUACCGCGCGGGGGGGAAUGAGAGGCUGAUGGAAAGGGACAAGUGCUGAUUCAGAUCACAGACCCGUGGGUCGCUUCAAACGAUUCUCUGUUUUCGUAUCCUGGGAAGGGAGGGGCAGGAGGAGGGGCACUGCCAGGAGGUGGGGAGUGAGGCAGGGGCAACAGGACAAGCUCUCCAGAAAUGAAGGGACAUAAAAACCUCUCCACUUACAGUCAUCAGCAAAAACCCAAACCCAGCAGCCGCGGAACUGCAGCGUGCAUAAACCCCCAAAUCCCAAUCGCCCUGUGUCGACGUCGAUGUCGGAGUCAACGCCCCAAGUGUGGGGCCCUCCGGGUUUUCCCUGGUGGGCUGGAGGGAGAGCUACAUACAGCCUUAGCCGUAGCAGUAGCCGUGGCUGUAGCAGCAACCAGUAGCCGCACAUUGCGGUUUGUGUCCUCAGAUUAGGCUCUCAACGAGCACAGCACUCCUCUGCUGGUGUGCCUGUUAUUAACGGCUGUGCAUUGGAGGACACAUGUAAGGAACGACGAGGAGAAUGUUUUUCCAGCUUAAAUCUUUUUUUGGAUCCACUGUAAAAGGAAAGUCUCUUCAACCAGAAUCUCCAAGAGACCCGGGCUGCUAGGCUGCGCACUCGGGACGCUACGCGCUGGGAAAGGAGGGGGAGCCCGAAGUCCCCUAUAGCGUGUGGCUUAAGGGAGGCCCCGCCCCCGGUGUUUUGGAUACUCCAUACGCCAUCAGAGACGACUGUGGUGGGUUUUUUAAUAAAUUUCUGGCUCUUGAAAGUCGCCAGUAGUGGACUGGACCCCAGUACGGUGAUUUGACAAUCAUUACAUUGUGCUGAUGUGGUGACGAUGCUGUGGUUGAUGAUGACCGCGGCGGUCUUUGAUGAGCUUCGGAGGUGUUUGUGAAGGAAGGAGGUGUAGAUUGGCCGUUAGAUUGUCGAGGCAGCCACAUCCAUGUGAGGCAUGGCGACGUGACGUCGUAUGACGUGAUGUUGUGUAGUGAAGACAUAUCACGUGACACCAUUCCAUAUUCAUGUCAUAUCAUAUCAUAUGGCAUGUCAUGAUUAUGCAUAUCAUAUCGUCUGAAAGGGGGUCAUAAACUUCCUUUUGUGUCGAAUCAUUCUGAUGUGUUCUGACAGAAUGUCAGCCACACGACGGGACGUGAGGGAUGCCAAGGAAGCUGCUGCGACAUGUAGACAUACAAAAACACCCCCGGGGGGAGGAGAACGGAGCUAGUCGACCUGCGGCUCUCGGCUAUGCUUAGGAGGGGACAGAGGCCCCUCACGCCCCUCUCCCGUCCGCGGGAGAGAGCUUAGGCGGUCUUUCCGUUGGGACUGGGCAGCAGCCCCUGGCCAGUGUCAGGCCCUGUCAGAUAUGUGUGACCUUCACACAAGAGUACACGCGCACCCACACAAGCACACACAAGCACAUAAACAUGCUGUACGCACGCAAGCUUGAUGACCUAGAUAGGCGACAUGUGAAACAAAACCAGGCACAUCACAACCCAAGGCCGCGACCCAAAUGUUGUCGUACAUACCGUUAAGUAUCGCAAUAGUUGGAUGGUUGAAGUGAAAAGCGGGUUAACCGUUAGCAUUGACAGUCCAGCAACGCGUUUGUUACUUAGCCUUGCUAACUAGGAUUCAGGGCUACUCAAAUGGCAGGGGGACAAGCACGAUACGCGCGUGCAUGGCAAUUGCGGGAGUGCGGGGAGUGGGCCGGGUUGCAGCUGUAGCGGCGCCAGCGGUAGCAGCAGCUUGGAACAGCAGCGGCUGAGCGACGCGUGGCGUUUGCCUCAGCCUCCUUGGGUAUGCGGGCCAAGAAAAAUGUGAUAACUCUUCUGCAACAAAAAAUACAGCACUGAAACUGAUGGGAAAAAAAGCCUUGCGGGGACCCGGACCGGAGUCCAUCUUCAGCUCAUUCUCCGGAGCAUGACCGCAACCUGGUAGGGCACAGUUCAGUCUGCGACACGGUGCUGGUAGUGACAGUGGACAAAAAACGAGUUUAGUUUACAGCGCCGCUUGUUCCAUCUCCAGGCUGGUGAUCAGGCACUGGGAAUCCCAUUAGACAACGUGUGUUUGUUUGUUUGUUUGUUUGUGUGUGUGUGUUUGUGUGUGUGUUUGUGUGUGUGUUUGUGUGUGUGUUUGUGUGUGUGUUUGUGUGUGUGUGUUUGUGUGUGUGUUUGUGUGUGUGUUUGUGUGUGUGUUUGUGUUUGUUUGUGUGUGUGUUUGUGUGUGUGUGUGUUUGUGUGUGUGUGUUUGUGUUUGUGUUUGUGUGUGUGUGUGUGCGCGUGUGCGUGUGCGUGUGUGUGUGCGUGUGUGUGCGUGUGCGUGUGUGUGCGUGUUACAUGGUUGGGGGUGCGUGAACCCAUACCUGUAAAACUACCCAUACAAGCCGAAGGUCCAAGGGCAAUAUUUAUACGCCUAAAAGCCACGGAGAACAGGAAACACCGCACAUCAGCCCAGACUAGCGUCCAAAAGGGGUAACUGAGUUUCGGCGAGCCCACAUACGUUCCAACAUACUCGCCAGACGCACUGGUUCCCAUUUCAUGGCCUCCAACAUGCUUAGACAACGGAAUGAGGUUCAAGUAAGCGUGUCUUGGUUGUUGAUGUUGUUACAGGGUGGUUAAGCUUCACCAGUGGCCUCCUUCCCGAGGCAAUUCCCUGCUCUCCCCUGCUAGAGGGGCACCCUAAGCCAUUCACCCCAUCCGACUUCAGAGUGUACUCUUCGAGUUUGGCAACUCACCACCAGCAUCCAAUCAAAUCUAGCGGAUCAACGGCGCCUAAGCUUAGUUCCUGGUCAGCUCGCGAGUUGAUUUUAUCACGUCCUACACCGUCCACAGGAUGGGGGGCCACCUCCCAUUUCAACACCUCUCAAACACCCGAGAGAUCGGAAGGCUGAUUUGAACCCGGGUCGACCGGGAGCAGAAGUCAGGCCUUAACCUCUGCCAGCCGCCUGCCGGUUGUUGUCUUAAAUUCGUUAGGUUGAUACCUGGGUGCAUCGGGGGUUAUUCCAUUAUCUCAAUAAAUUUAUCCUAGUAUCUCAAUCUACCUCGCGGGAGGCGGCAGAAAAUGUCUAGAGUUGUUUCCAGCGUCCAUCCCGCGGCCCUCCCGCGGCUCUUCCGCGGUAUCACCGUAUUGCGACUAUUCUGGACGAGCCCAGGGCUUCGGGUGUUCUUGAGGGUCCUGCCUUAGCUUAACUUUACAUUAUGCUUUCAUGAUGCAGUUUAAAUUUUUGUGCUUUAACCGCGUGGGCCUAGGAUCGCCAGAAUGAGCCCGACCUUCAGCUAGCUUCCCAACGGGAAGGAAGAGCAUGUGCUGACGUGAAUUCUGAGUCGCUCUCAUGGUGUCUGUUCUUUAUACAUCUACACCACAGCUUCAAUGCUUCCUGCUGCUGCUUAUUGCAUGGGGGUGCUUAUUGCAUCAUCGCGAUAAUUGCGCAAAUCUGAAUUGGAGCGCAAGGGCGGGCGUUUCGCUUGUGACAAAUCGCUGGCGGUUGUCUUUUGGACUCGGUCUCGAACGUGUGGAAGCUGUAUAUGUCGAUGAUACGGCAGUCGCCGGCGCCGCAUGCCAUAUGCUUCUUUCAUCACUCUCAAGUGCAAGAUUGUGUGAAUUGCCCGACGGGUUUCAUGCUUGACAAUCUUUAGCGCUAAGGGUGCUCGUACCGGGUACUACCCAGUUGGCGGUUUUUGGAUUGCUUGGCCGUACUCAAAUGCAGUCGCGAGCUGGGCAUAUAUUCAUUGCGCUAGUUAGAGUUUGUCGCUUCCCGGAAUUUGCUGUAUGAGGCACGACUUCUGCCCUGUGCGUAGCAGGCUUCAAUUGGCGCUAGGGCUCGACGGGGAAGGCGGAAGCACUACGAAUAUGAGGCUUACAGACAUGUGAGAAGGAUAUGCGUGUAAUAACCGAUGGUUUGCAUCGAGUGCUAUGCGACAUUUGGAUAUUUGCGACUACAAGGAGUUCGUGAUGAGCCUCGAGAGGUUCAAAUUUGACACCUAAAAUGAUCAGACACAUAUGUUAAAUAUUAGAAUGUUUUUGUACAUCGUGUCAUGGUGCAAUCUGAGUCCCGAUAACAUGAUCGGGCAGCGACCACGUACGACGCCCUGUGCAAGAUACUAGUCGAGGCAAAAUAUACUUGUCUCUUACCAUACUUCGUCAAUCUUAAGCAUACGUUUAUCCAGGUAUAACCACUGCCAACACAUAUGGCAUUGGACACCAACCCGUUGCGAUAGAAGAGGAAUGAAAUGCGACUAGCAGAACGUGUCAGGUGUUGGUUUCGUAAACUGGGGCCUUCUGAUAACGCAGCUGAAGCACAUGUAACAACCGUUCAGCAAAGCAACGCUGGAGAAGAGGUCGAAGCUGCAAGCGCAGCGGGAGCAGGCGUGGCGGUUGGGGCCACAAGUGACAGCUCGCACAAGGAGGCAUUUGCUCCUCUGCCCCACUCCGUGCAGCCAGCUCAAGAGAAGCUUCCGGUGGCAUCAGUUCAGCAGCCACCUCAGGAGGAGCUUCCGGUCACACCAGCUCCACAGCUGGAGCCUCAACCGGCGCAGCAGGCCCCUGCCCAAGUAUGUGGGUCAUGGGAGCCUUCCGCACGCUGUUGCUUAAAAAGCCGCAGACAGCG
rnacentral:lncRNA from 1 species